UGCCUACGGGGCGCAGCAGUGGGGGUUCUUGCACAAUGGUGGCCACCCUGCUGCAGCGACGCCGCGUGGGCGAAGAAGUAUUUCGGUAUGUAAAGCCCUAUCAGCAGGGAAGAAGAAAUGACGGGACCUGAGUAAGAAGCACCGGCUAAAUACGUGCCAGCAGCCGCGGUAAUACGUAUGGCGCAAGCGUUAUCCGGAUUUACUGGGUGUAAAGGGAGCGCAGGCGGCACGGCAAGCCUGAUGUGA
rnacentral:rRNA from 1 species